CACGUAGGGUGCAAGCGUCAUUCGGAAUCACUGGGCUUAAAGCGCGUGUAGGCGGAUGGGCGCGUCGGAACCUGAAAGCCCCCGGCUCAACCGGGGAAGUGGGGCCGAAACGACCCGUCUGGAGGGACGUAGGGGGAUCUGGAACUUCCGGUGGAGCGGUGAAAUGCGUUGAGAUCGGAAGGAACGCCCGUGGCGAAAGCGAGAUCCUGGACGUCUUCUGACGCUGAGACGCGAAAGCUAGGGGAGCAAACGGG
rnacentral:rRNA from 1 species